UGUUUACAUCUAAUUGGACAGAGGUGAAUCCGCACUGACAGUGGUUAGUGUCGACGUCUGGUGGCGACUUUCAAUUUGGGACAAAACUCGAUAGUGUAAUCUAUAUCAGAUUAGAAGGCACGAAGCCAGUUUUGAAAUAAUAAAAUUUGAAUGAAAAUUUGUACACCAUGUUAAUUAAUUACUUGAAACACGUAUUUUUGAUUCUUAUUUAAUCGAUUGUCUAUACACUUCUGAUAUUUUGACUGAAGCCUUUCAUUAUAUAUAAUAUAAAAUUGUUCUCAAACACGAUUUUCGUAUGAGGUUUUUUUACCCCAUGUAAAAAAAGUGUAUUUCAUUUAAAUAGAAUACUAAUUUGAUACGAAUAAGUUAAUUUUUAUUCAUAAUUUUAAUUUUGAAAACGUGUUCAUUCCGCCUGAAAAUUAAUUACUAUCUUGGACGCUCCCAAAAUCAUGAAACGAAGCUCAGUGCCGUCAACGCGAAUAUCAACAAACACAGCACAAACGAAAAACAGAAUGUGAAAAACAAGUUAGAACCAAUCAAUCAAAUCAAGAAAAACAUCAAAAUGGACUCAGAAUAACAUUUUGAUAAAUCGUGGUGAGAGUGUUCUACAAGUGGCUGACGAAACGGGUCUUCCACGGUCGACAGUUUACGGAAUCGAGAAGCAAAAAAUAGCAUUGCGGUAUUGCAAGGCGUUGGUCAACUAAACUAUCCCCUGAUUUCGAGAUAAUAAUAGGAAAUAUAAAGGUAGAGAAACCAGAUGCCGAAAUCGACACAACUAUCGUUAAGGAAGAAUAUGAUGUAAAACUUAAAAAUACGAAUGCAAUCACUCAGCCCAUGGCGCCGAAGAAAUUAACCAAGAACAUUCAUAAACUUAUCAAAAAAGCAUCAAAACACAAAUCUUAUUUACGAUAUGGAUUAAAGGAUGUUCAAGUGCGUCCGCGGAAUAAUGAAACAGGGAAAGCAAUGUGUAUAUUGAUUGUCAUUUUCGCUGCAGAAAAGUGGAAAUCAUGUGUCACUUGCCAUCUGUUUGUGAGAAACGCAAUAUCCCAUAUUGCUAUACGCCGAGUCGGAAGACUUGGGAGCAGCAGUGGGUGUGAAAUGAGGCACAGUCGCAAUACUAAUCCGAGAGCAGCCCGAUUAUCAGGAACAGUGCGAUAAACUAAAAGUGAAGAAUCAAUGCCGUCAACACGAAUAUACCAUUGUGCGAGUUUUUACAACACGAUAAAUUUUUAGGAGUAUUUUCAACCAUUUUUCCAAUCAAAACAAUUUAUGGUGUUACAAUCAAUCAUUUUGUAUUUUUGUUAUCAUGCCAUAUACUUAAUUAAAAUUCACUAUUGUUAUUCGUCAAGAAGGCGAAUAAUUUCAUUUUCAUAUUCGUUUUUUCAUUUUUUGGCUUCCACUAAUUUACGGUCAUCACCAACAGCAAUAAGAACAUUUUUGAGUACAUCCAUGAUGCUGAUAGCCUACUUAUAAUCAUUGCGUUUUUCGGAUUGACUGCUCCAAGAGUACAUAUAACCGAAGUACUAAGAUCACCCUCAGCACUUUCGUUAGCAUCGCAAUCUUGCUCUUCAUGGUCGGCCUCGAAAAAGUCACCACCAGAGGCUUGGCCAAUUGCUCGUCGGUAUAUAUUUGCGCUACAUCUAUGUUGUCUGAGUUGCUUAGCCACUCUUGAACUUCUUCUUCGGUCAGUUCGUAGUUUGGAUCAACGAGUUGCACUACUUUAGAAAGCAACACGCGGGGGUCACUUGUUGGUGAAGAAAUUGUGAAAUCCUUGAACGAGUUAUAGUUUUGAUCUUGACUUAAGAGAUUGCGCCAACAGUUAGCAAUCGUUUCUGGAGUUACAGUGGCCCACGCAUCAGUCGCUAGUUGAAUAGCAUCAUAAAGGCUAAAUGAUUUGAUAACUUCUGUAACUGGGCGAU